ACUAUCAAAAUAAGAGGAAAUGAAGUGAAUAUCUUCAACUGAAGCCGCAGCCGUAAAAGUCGGAACGCUCGAAAAAAGAACCAAGCCCACGUGCAAUUUGGGA
rnacentral:ncRNA from 19 species